UGCUAACUCUGUGUGGAUACAUA
rnacentral:piRNA from 1 species